rnacentral:sRNA from 1 species
UUCCUUUCCUUUUCUCCAGAUUUUCUUGUCUGGAAGGGAGCAGCCCUCAGACACCUUUCUGCUUUGAUACCGUCCUCGGAUGCCCUCUGGUGGGGCCGUGGAGGGGACACCGGGGCACACGCGGCUCUCUCCAGCCUACUAUCCUCCAGCAGGUCUCCAGGUGCCUGUGUGCACCCACAGUGAUUGGGCUCCCGGGAGCUUAGCCACCCUUCUCCCCGGUGUCGUGCUUCAUCUCUUUCUAAGCCUUUUUAAAGAGCAGAUUUUUAGGAGAGUAGAAAUACCUUAUUUUUUUACAAGGAAUAGCAGAGAUGAAAGACACCAAAGUGUAGACUCGGCCCUCGGAUGGGUGCAGGUAGAGGGGAGGAGGAAAGGGGAGGGCAGGGACCUUGUUGCUGGCAGCCCUGAAGCUGAGCUCCUAGAGGAGCGGACCAGAUCAUACUCAGUGGUAUCCUUGGGGCCCAUGUCAGGCCUUCUAAGGAAUGAAGAAAUGAUUUAGGAAGCUCUACACCUCCCGUAGGCAUUUGGGAAAGUGCCUGAAUCCAGGUGGCCCUAAGUGUAGAGAUGGCGGCUGUGCAGGCUGCCCCUCCUGUACCAUCUCCCCAGUGCCUGGCAUGGUGCCCUGUGGGUACUGAGGUGGGUGCUUCUCACCGUGAAGGCGGGAUGGAGUGUUCUGGGCCUGUUGGUGACCUACUCACCCAAUGGCCUGGAGUUCAAUUGCAAGCCUGAGGGCUAGAGAGGGCCCAGCAUGGGAUACCCCUUGGGGAAUGUGGGGUGACGUGGCUUCCUUGUGAGAGUUAAAUCACUGUCCUACCACUUCCCAAAGCCAUGAAACAUCGUUCACUGUUCAGAAAACAUUUCUCUGAGAUAGAAAUCUAAGCUUUACUGUCCUGGCAUCAGGAAAGAGAGUGUCAGGCUGGGAAGCAGAUGCCACCUGCUUGGACCCCAGAAUUCACCCGGCUCAGGCCUCUGUUGCAGGAAGGAUCCCUCGCCUCCCAUGUAACUCUCGUCUCUGCCGCCUUUUCUCUGGGCCGGUGCAAGUCACUGGGUUGCCAGGCCUGGCUUCAGACAGGGUCGGGUGGACCAGGUGGGGUUUGCACCAUCAGAUCAUCUUAGGUGUCUUACCCGUUACAAAGAAAUGGGAAAGAGAUGGCGCCUGUCAAUGACAGAGCUGCCUGCAGCCCUCAGACCAGCCCUGUCCCUCACCUGGGGUGCAGUCCUGCUACUUAGAGCAGUACUGCCUUUGAUUCCGUUCACAGCUUUCACCCUUUCUUCCUUUGUCCUUCUUCCCUCUGGUUUUCUCUUCCCCUUCUCUUCUUCCCGUUCUCCCUCUCUCUCAUCAUUAAAAAAAAAUGGUAUUUAGUUCAUUGUUUCGUGAUGCCUCAUUCCAAAAAAUGAUUGGCAACAACUUCCUAAGUAUGUGUGGUCUGGAAAGAUGUCUCAUCUCCAUGUUGCAGUUUCCCAUAUGGAAGACCAGCCACACUGUCAAGUGGGAAGGCGUGUGGCGAGAACUGGGCUGCCUCUCCAGGACGGCGUCAUUUGCUGUUCGAAAAGAAAGCGGACAUUCACUGAAGUCAUCUCUUUCGCACGCCAUGGUCAUCGAUUCUCGGAAUUCUUCCAUCUUACCAAGAAGAGGUGCUUUGCUGAAAGUUAACCAGGAACUGGCAGGCUACACUGGCGGGGAUGUGAGCUUCAUCAAAGAAGAUUUUGAACUUCAGUUGAACAAGCAACUCAUAUUCGAUUCAGUUUUUUCAGCAUCUCUCUGGGGCGGAAUGUUGGUGCCCAUUGGUGAUAAGCCGUCAAGCAUUGCUGAUAGGUUUUACCUCGGAGGACCCACAAGCGUCCGUGGAUUCAGCAUGCACAGCAUCGGGCCACAGAGCGAAGGAGACUACCUAGGUGGAGAAGCGUACUGGGCCGGCGGCCUGCACCUCUACACCCCGUUACCUUUCCGGCCAGGCCAGGGUGGCUUUGGAGAACUUUUCCGAACACACUUCUUUCUCAACGCAGGAAACCUCUGCAACCUCAACUAUGGGGAGGGCCCCAAAGCUCAUAUUCGUAAGCUGGCUGAGUGCAUCCGCUGGUCGUACGGGGCCGGGAUUGUCCUCAGGCUUGGCAACAUUGCUCGGUUGGAACUUAAUUACUGCAUCCCCAUGGGAGUACAGACAGGCGACAGGAUAUGUGAUGGCGUCCAGUUUGGAGCUGGGAUAAGGUUCCUGUAGCUGAUACCCCUACAGGAGAAGCUCUGGGACUGGGCAGCAGCAAGGCGCCCAUGCCACGCACCGUCUCUCGAGGAAACACGGCUCAGUGAUUCUUUGACUGCAGACCCUGUGGGAAACCCCGUCAAUAAAUGUUAAAGACACACUC